AUUGAACGCUGGCGGCAUGCCUAACACAUGCAAGUCGAGCGGAGCGGCGGACGGGUGAGUAAUGCCUAGGAAUCUGCCUGGUAGUGGGGGAUAACGUCCGGAAACGGGCGCUAAUACCGCAUACUCUUUGAUGAGCCUAGGUCGGAUUAGCUAGUUGGUGUGGUAAAGGCCUACCAAGGCGACGAUCCGUAACUGGUCUUAGAGGAUGAUCAGUCACACUGGAACUGAGACACGGUCCAAACUCCUACGGGAGGCAGCAGUAGGGAAUAUUGGACAAUGGGCGAAAGCCUGAUGCAGCCAGGCCGCGUGUGUGAAGAAGGUCUUCGGAUUGUAAAGCACUUUAGGUUGGGAGGCGUUACCAACAGAAUAAGCACCGGCUAACUUCGUGCCAGCAGCCGCGGUAAUAC
rnacentral:rRNA from 1 species